rnacentral:rRNA from 1 species
UUUCCUACGGGGGGCAGCAGUAGGGAAUAUUGCUCAAUGGGGGAAACCCUGAAGCAGCAACGCCGCGUGGAGGAUGAAGGUUUUCGGAUUGUAAACCUCUGUCAGCAGGGAAGAACGGUCACUGUGCUAAUCAGCAGUGAAUUGACGGUACCUGCAAAGGAAGCACCGGCUAACUCCGUGCCAGCAGCCGCGGUAAUACGGAGGGUGCGAGCGUUAAUCGGAAUUACUGGGCGUAAAGCGCUCGUAGGCGGUAUGUCAAGUCAAGGGUGAAAUCCCCGCGCUCAACGUGGGAACUGCCUUUGAAA